AAUUAAUGAACUUGUAAAAGUAUAUGUUUUGAAAACAUAAAAAAGAGUAUUAAUCCUCUAUUAAUUU
rnacentral:tRNA from 1 species